GAAGUAAAAGUCGUAACAAGGUUUCCGUAGGUGAACCUGCGGAAGGAUCAUUACCGAGUUUUCGAGCUUCGGCUCGACUCUCCCACCCUUUGUGAACGUACCUCUGUUGCUUUGGCGGCUUCGGCCGCCAAAGGACCUUCAAACUCCAGUCAGUAAACGCAGACGUCUGAUAAACAAGUUAAUAAACUAAAACUUUCAACAACGGAUCUCUUGGUUCUGGCAUCGAUGAAGAACGCAGCGAAAUGCGAUAAGUAAUGUGAAUUGCAGAAUUCAGUGAAUCAUCGAAUCUUUGAACGCACAUUGCGCCCCUUGGUAUUCCGGGGGGCAUGCCUGUUCGAGCGUCAUUACAACCCUCAAGCUCUGCUUGGAAUUGGGCACCGUCCUCACUGCGGACGCGCCUCAAAGACCUCGGCGGUGGCUGUUCAGCCCUCAAGCGUAGUAGAAUACACCUCGCUUUGGAGCGGUUGGCGUCGCCCGCCGGACGAACCUUCUGAACUUUUCUCAAGGUUGACCUCGGAUCAGGUAGGGAUACCCGCUGAACUUAAGCAUA
rnacentral:rRNA from 1 species